CAAGACCUGGCCCACAGAAAACCACCCAGGAAAAGGCUGGGGAGUUUCUAGUGUGUAAAAGCAAUGCCUUGUUUAUAUCCAUCCCCGCACCUACCUGUCUGGACACCUUGGAGGCUGAAUGACAAGAAUAACAAGAAGUCUAAUGCUUACUCCAUGCUCAGCACCUUUAAAACUCUUAUUAGGUGUUUUGACUUGAUGUGUACUGUGACAUCACAGAGCUGGUGCAGCCAGGAACCCAGCUUUGUAGAUGGAGAGAGUGAAUCGUAGAGGCAAGAAGCCUAUAAGGAGGGAUCCAAAGUCACAGGUAGACCAGAAUCCAAAAGACAUGGCGAGGAAUGUGCGUACAUCAGAUUAUCCAGCUGUUGAGAAGUCUCGACAGGAAAGGCGCUUUCGGACAAGCCUGAUGACCUGAGUUCAAUCCUGGAUCUCGUGUGCGGGAGGAAGAGAACUGACUCAUCUUGUAAGUUGUCCUCUGACCUCCACAUGUACUCUGUUGCACACCCACAUACAAAAGAAAUAUACAUAGACACAU
rnacentral:lncRNA from 1 species